rnacentral:lncRNA from 13 species
GGGGAAACAAAGAGAAGGCAUUCCUAUUGGCUGUUGAGGAACAGGAAGUUCAUGGAGCUAAAGUAGGAAAUACAUGAAACUAGCUGUUGUUGGUAGGUGGGCGGGGCCUUGGGUAAAUAGGCCUUGAUUGACUACAGGGGAAACAAAGAGAAGGCAUUCCUAUUGGCUGUUGAGGAGCAGGAAGUACAUGCAGUUCAAGUAGGAAGUACAUGAAACUAGCUGCCAUUGGUAGGUGGGCGGGACCUUGGGUAUGCCUGGGCCUGCCAGGGUGUAUGGGGCAGGGUGUUGCCAGGCAGGGUCAGAAGGACUUCUACUACGAUUCUCCCUCUUAAUUUCUUCUGGAUGUUUCCUCAUCUCAAACUAUAUAGACACUGGAAAUCAGCAUCUUCAUUUCAAGUCCAGAUCCUUUACAGGUCAUUGGAGACCCAAGGUCAAAUAA